GUAUUAUUAGUUAAUGCAAGAUCGACUACGUCGACUAAAGUUCUAGGUAGAAUAAUGAUGAUGACAAUUUUUUACCUAUAUGUCUUGACCAAGUCUCGUGCCAGCAGUCGCGGUAAUACGUGGAAGACUAGUGUUAUUCAUCUUUAUUAGGUUUAAAGGGUACCUAGACGGUAUUUCUAGCCCAAAAUAGGGUACGGAUUUACUAGAGUUUUAUGUGAGGAGGGGAGUACUCGUGGAGUAGAGAUGAAAUUUUGUUAUACUAUGAGGUAACUGGUAGCGGCGAAAGCAACCUUCUAUGUAUAAACUGACGUUGAGGGACGAAGGCUUGGGUAGCAAAUAGGAUUAGAUACCCUAGUAGUCCAAGCAGACAAUUCUGAAUGCCAUAGAUUAGAUUAUUUUUGAUCUAUAAAUGAAAGUGUAAGCAUUCCACCUUAGGAGUAAUGUGGCAACACAGGAACUGAAAUCAUUAGACCGUUUCUGAAACCAGUAGUGAAGUAUGUUAUUUAAAUUGAUGGUCCACAAAAAACCUUACCACAACUUGAAUAUUUUUAAUUAAUACAAGCGUUGCACGGCUGUCUUCAGUUAAUGUCGUGAGAUUUUGGUUAACUCCAUUAAUUAACGUAAACCCUUACUUUA
rnacentral:rRNA from 1 species